UUUAAUCAGUUUGAGCCUUUUAACCGGUCGAUUUUUAUUUCAAAAUUUGAUCGAAACAUGUAUGUUUCUGAGAAGUUUAUUUCACAUUGAUAAGUUUGAUGCAUUCAAUUUAUUUAUUUUUGGGGCAUUUUUUGCCCGAUUUUUAUUUAUUUUUUAUCCGAUUAUUUUUUAUUCUUAACCAAAAUGUCGUUGGAAUUAAUUAGAUUUGUCCGAAUUUUUAUUUUUAUUUUAUUUUGCAUUUUCGAUUUUUAUUUUAAAUUAUUAAUAUUUUAGUUUUUUAGAAAAAUUAAUUUAAGAAAAAAAUCAGAAAAUAUCUUUUGAUCCCCCACUCAAUUGUUGUCACGUGUCCCCAUUUUUCUGCCAUCCACAUGAAACCACGUCUCUCUUUUUUACACCACAAAUACCUCUUCCUCCAAUCAACAGCAAGGACUACAAGGAAAUAAUACAAAAGAAACAUGUGGAAAAGAAAACGAACAAAAGAAGGUCGAAUGAAUUGACCAUCAUCUUCUUGCUCAUACUCCAUCAAUAUCUCUAACUCUACCAUAUUAAAGUUUUAUCUUCUUCAAACCACCAUAGCCAUUACAAAACAAAUACAAUCUUAAACCAAAACUUCUUCCUCUCUCCAUUCCCAUGAUAGAUACCUUCUUCAUUCUUCAAUAUAUUCUAACCAAAAUGAAUGCUUCCCUACAUAAUACCAUAACAAACUCACCUUAAAUUUUGUACUUCUUCAAUUAACAACCAUGAACACAUAACCUCACACAAAAUAUCAUCUCAUUGAAACAACACACACUAGCAAUCUUCUCACCUUCAUUUUGAUUCAACAACCCAACCGCAACAACACGUCGGCACCACAACAUCGCCCAACACAUCAGAAGCUUUCAGCCGCUGCUCUACACCACAUGCACACCACUGGAAAACCAUCACCAUCUUGAAUUUGAAUGAACCACCUCUUCGCCGCCUCACUUGUUUCCAUCAUUGAUGUGUCCGAUUCGAGUAAGCAUCGAGAGAGAUGAUAAGUCUUUAUUUUUAAGCCAUUGUUGAUGUUUGAGUUUUUUAGAGAGUUAAAAAAAUGAAGGAAAAGAGAUAGGAGAGCUGAGUUUUCCUACUCGUAUCAGGUACUGGUCUUUUAUGCUACUGAUUUUGUUUUUCUUUUAUGCUUUUUUUUCAUUUAUUUAUUAGAGUUGAGAUUUACUUUUUUAUUUUAUUGGUUUGGAUUGGAUAACUUAGAUGAAGUUUUAUUUAAUGAAUCUGUACAGAGACAAGAUUUGUUUUUAAGUAUAUGUUUCUGGUAUAAAAAGUCAAAGAUAAAUAAUGGCAAAAGAUCUUUAAAUUUGGAGUACUGUAUUGUUAGUACUAGGAAACAAAUUAUCAUCUAUCAGCUAUGAAGUAUUAAACCUUAUAACUAGUAUUGUUAAUUUUGGUAAGUUUUAGAACUCAUGAAAUCUUAAAUAAUAUUGACUUCAAGAUCAACAUGUAAGAAGAGAAAAAAUGUGUUUGCCUCAUUUGUAAAGAACAAUAGUUAUUUAGAUCUUUUAAACUUAAAUUUUUAAAAUUUGAAUUGUUCUAUGUGGGUCUUUUAAUGUAGUUUAGGAAUAUUUGGUUUAGAAUUUGUUAUUGUUUGUUUUAAAUGCAUCACCAUAAAUGACAACUAGCUUGUAAAAUAGGAAAAUAAGUCUAUUUUGGUUUAGACUCAGUUUAGAAUUGCUUCCAAUUUCAUAUAAUAUUUGGCACUUUUUUAUACAAUUAUGUUUUCUCAUUUUGUCACCUAAGCUCUUUUCUAAUUNUUAAGAAAUACUCUUGAUUUCUUAAUCAUGAAUGUAAAUGAAAUAUGUAUGAGUUAAGAAAUACUCUUGACUUCUUAAUCAUGAAUGUAAAUGAAUUGAGAAAUGCUCUUGAUUUCUCAGAUGAAAUGCAAAUGAAUUAAGAAACACUCUUGAUUCCUUAAUCAUGAAUGUAAAUAUGCUGAGAAAUGCUCUUGACUUCUCAGAUGCUAUGCAAAUUAAUUAAGAAAUACUCUUGAUUCCCUAAUCAUGAAUGUAAAUGAAUUGAGAAAUGGUCUUGAUUUCUCAGAUGAUAUGAAGACGAGUUAAGAAAUACUCUUGAUUCCUUAAUCAUUGAAUGUAAAUGUACUGAGAAAUGCUCUUGAUUUCUCAGAUGAUAUGCAAAUGAGUUAAGAAAUACUCUUGAUUUCUUAAUCAUGAAUGUAAAUGAAUUAUGUAUGAGUUAAGAAAUACUCUUGAUUUCUUAAUCAUGAAUGUAAAUGAAAUAUGUAUGAGUUAAGAAAUACUCUUGAUUUCUUAAUCAUGAUAGUGCAGAUGAAUUAAGAAAUACUCUUGAUUCCUUAAUUAUGAAUGUAAAUGAGAAAUGCUCUUGAUUUCUCAUAUGACAUGCAAAUGACUAGGGAUGAGAGAAUCAUGUUCAGUUGCUCUUGACUGACAUUAGGUCUCUAGGAUGGAUCUGUUAUAACGUAACAUGCUCGACUGGUCUUCAGACGUUCUUCGUUGAAGGCAGACACUCCUGGGGGAAUAAAUGAUCAUAUUCAGCUGCUUUUGGCUAAAGAUGUCAUAUUCAACAACUCUUGGCUGAAACUGAUGCAUUCAACGACUCUUGGUUGAAGCAAAAACUGUAAAAUAAAGUAGUGUUCAGCUGUUUUUUACUGAAACCACUGCAUUCAACUGCUCAUGGUUGAAGCAAAACUGGGAGAUAAAAAUCUUCUACUUAAUCUCAUGUUUUGAAAUUGUUAAAUAAUAAACUUAUUAUUAAAUUUGUUGAACACAUUUUUCUCAAUAAAAUUUACACAACUAUAAAAAUCAAGGAAAUAAAGCAUAUAUACAGAAUUUAGCGACGAAAAAAACCACAACAUAGAAAAUCACGAGUAAAAGCUAUACAACUCCUAUCUAGAGAAAUUAUGUGAUAGUUGAAAGAAUUAGAAAAGAGCUUAGGUGACAAAAUGAGAAAACAUAAUUGUAUAAAAAAGUGCCAAAUAUUAUAUGAAAUUGGAAGCAAUUCUAAACUGAGUACUUCAAGGAAAUAAUUCAUUUUUAAGGAGUCAAGAGUACUUCUUAACCUUCAUUUACAUGCAUAUCGCCCGACAAUUAGGAAAUCAAGAGUAUUUCUUAAAUCUCGUUGCAUUCAUUUGCAUUAUUGUCUGUUGAUUAAGAAAUCAAGAGUAUUUCUUAAAUCCAAGUGCAUUCGGUCAUAAUCAUAAGCAUAUCAUUCUUCUACAUUAGAAGGGCAAAAUUUGGGUCUGUUUGGUAUUUAAACUAUCUUUUACCAUGAUGAUUUGAAGACAAGAGUUCUUCAUAUCCUCCGGUUAAAUAUGUUUAAAUAGGGGCAGCUGUCAUACCCUAAAUUUCACCCUGAGUUUUCACUCGCAUCAGCAUAACAUAAAUCGAUCCAUUUUGUCGUGUAUUUCAUCAAUUUAAAGCAUUCAUCAGGGUUCAGGUAAAAGGUCAGGAAUUCUGACAUUUUAUCUGAAUUUGAUAAUACUUAUUCAGUCGUCUGUUGAUUAAGAAGUCAAAAGACUUGAUUUCUCAAUCUCGUUGCAUCGCUUAUUUUUAUUACGUCGUAUUUUAGAGGUUCGGAAAGUGAUAAUCAAGAUUAUUGUCGUCGUCUGAAUCUUUGUAGGUUUUGUUUGUGCUUGAGAAUCAACAGCAAAUCGUACAAGAGCGAUUCAUUUGCAUCUGACUGUCUGUUCACGAUUAUUCAGUCAGCAAUUCAGUUCAUUUACAUGACGCUUGCAUUUUUUUACUUGUAAAAACAUGCAUUUUGUUUCACAUAGUGCUUAAAAUAUACUUGAAUUAAUUUUUUCGAAACUACAGACAGACCGGUCAAAUCGUUUCUCAACUGUACGUCGAACUAUCGGGCGGAAAAUUUCAAAAUUGAACUUGCAGACGUCAGUUUUAGUAAUCUACGAUUUGUGUAUUUUAAUUUGGCAUGCUCAUUUUAAUUUUUUGACUACUUUUUCAGUCGCAUUUUAAUCAGUUUGAGCCUUUUAACCGGUCGAUUUUUAUUUCAAAAUUUGAUCGAAACAUGUAUGUUUCUGAGAAGUUUAUUUCACAUUGAUAAGUUUGAUGCAUUCAAUUUAUUUAUUUUUGGGGCAUUUUUUGCCCGAUUUUUAUUUAUUUUUUAUCCGAUUAUUUUUUAUUCUUAACCAAAAUGUCGUUGGAAUUAAUUAGAUUUGUCCGAAUUUUUAUUUUUAUUUUAUUUUGCAUUUUCGAUUUUUAUUUUAAAUUAUUAAUAUUUUAGUUUUUUAGAAAAAUUAAUUUAAGAAAAAAAUCAGAAAAUAUCUUUUGAUCCCCCACUCAAUUGUUGUCACGUGUCCCCAUUUUUCUGCCAUCCACAUGAAACCACGUCUCUCUUUUUUACACCACAAAUACCUCUUCCUCCAAUCAACAGCAAGGACUACAAGGAAAUAAUACAAAAGAAACAUGUGGAAAAGAAAACGAACAAAAGAAGGUCGAAUGAAUUGACCAUCAUCUUCUUGCUCAUACUCCAUCAAUAUCUCUAACUCUACCAUAUUAAAGUUUUAUCUUCUUCAAACCACCAUAGCCAUUACAAAACAAAUACAAUCUUAAACCAAAACUUCUUCCUCUCUCCAUUCCCAUGAUAGAUACCUUCUUCAUUCUUCAAUAUAUUCUAACCAAAAUGAAUGCUUCCCUACAUAAUACCAUAACAAACUCACCUUAAAUUUUGUACUUCUUCAAUUAACAACCAUGAACACAUAACCUCACACAAAAUAUCAUCUCAUUGAAACAACACACACUAGCAAUCUUCUCACCUUCAUUUUGAUUCAACAACCCAACCGCAACAACACGUCGGCACCACAACAUCGCCCAACACAUCAGAAGCUUUCAGCCGCUGCUCUACACCACAUGCACACCACUGGAAAACCAUCACCAUCUUGAAUUUGAAUGAACCACCUCUUCGCCG
rnacentral:lncRNA from 1 species